rnacentral:rRNA from 1 species
GUGUCAGCAGCCGCGGUAAUACGUAGGGGGCCAGCGUUGUCCGGAAUCAUUGGGCGUAAAGCGCGCGUAGGCGGCCAGAUAAGUCCGGUGUGAAAGUCAAAGGCUCAACCUUUGAAUGCCGCUGGAAACUGUCUGGCUUGAGUCCGGAAGGGGCGAGUGGAAUUCCUGGUGUAGCGGUGAAAUGCGCAGAUAUCAGGAGGAACACCAAUGGCGAAGGCAGCUCGCUGGAACGGUACUGACGCUGAGGCGCGAAAGCGUGGGGAGCAAACAGGAUUAGAAACCCCGGUAGUCC